CAGCGCCACGGGAAUACGAGGGGGGCUAGCGUUGUUCGGAAUUACUGGGCGUAAAGGGCGCGUAGGCGGCCAUUCAAGUUAGAUGUGAAAGCCCUGGGCUCAACCUAGGAAUUGCAUUUGAUACUGUUUGGCUUGAGUUCGGGAGAGGUGAGUGGAAUUCCCAGUGUAGAGGUGAAAUUCGUAGAUAUUGGGAAGAACACCAGUGGCGAAGGCGGCUCACUGGACCGACACUGACGCUGAGGCGCGAAAGCGUGGGGAGCAAACAGGAUUAGAUACCCCGGUAGUCCCUGUCUCUUAUACC
rnacentral:rRNA from 1 species